ACUGUCAAAUAAGGGACAAACGAAGAGUUAAUGACAAGUGAAGACACAGCCUGGGGGUGAGUAUAUGGCGGUUGAUAGGCAGCGAAUCAUAAAACGAUUUACGGUUGUGUCGUGUCCCUCGCUUUAUAACC
ensembl:ncRNA F39D8.6 ncRNA